rnacentral:rRNA from 1 species
UACAGGGGGGGCAAGCGUUGUUCGGAAUUACUGGGCGUAAAGGGUCUGUAGGUGGCCAACUAAGUCAGACGUGAAAUCCCUCAGCUUAACUGGGGAACUGCGUCUGAUACUGGAUGGCUCGAGUGUGGGAGAGGAAUGCGGAAUUCCAGGUGUAGCGGUGAAAUGCGUAGAUAUCUGGAGGAACACCGGUGGCGAAGGCGGCAUUCUGGACCAUAACUGACACUGCUAGGACGAAAGCGUGGGGAGCGAAUGGG